rnacentral:rRNA from 1 species
GCUUUCCCUCCAGAGUGGAUCCUGAGUACGGCGGAACACGUGAAAUUCCGUCGGAAUCCGGGAGGACCAUCUCCCAAGGCUAAAUACUCCCUAGUGACCGAUAGUGAACCAGUACCGUGAGGGAAAGGUGAAAAGCACCCCGGAAGGGGAGUGAAACAGUUCCUGAAACCGUGUGCCUACAAGUAGUUAGAGCCCGUUAAUGGGUGAUAGCGUGCCUUUUGUAGAAUGAACCGGCGAG